CCUACGGGAGGCAGCAGUGAGGAAUAUUGGUCAAUGGGCGGGAGCCUGAACCAGCCAAGCCGCGUGAGGGAAGAAGGUACAGCGUAUCGUAAACCUCUUUUGUCAGGGAACAAAGGCGGGGACUAGUCCCUGGAUGAGGGUACCUGAAGAAAAAGCAUCGGCUAACUCCGUGCCAGCAGCCGCGGUAAUACGGAGGAUGCGAGCGUUAUCCGGAUUUAUUGGGUUUAAAGGGUGCGCAGGCGGCCUGUUAAGUCGGCGGUAAAAGCCCGGGGCUCAAACCCGGCGCGGCCUGGAAACUGGGGGGGAGGGAGUGGGAGAGAGGGAGGCGGAAUGGGGGGUGUAGGGGUGAAAGG
rnacentral:rRNA from 1 species